rnacentral:rRNA from 1 species
CUAGGACGAACGCUGGCGGCGUGCUCAUACAUGCAAGUCGAACGAGAAGCUGACUUCGGUCAGUGGAAAGUGGCGGACGGGUGAGUAAUAUGUAGGAAAUCUGCCCUAGAGAGGGGGACAACAGAGGGAAACUUCUGCUAAUACCCCAUAUGAGCUUAGUUGAAAUACUAAUCUUGAAAACUCCGGUGCUCUGGGAUGAGCCUGCAUCUGAUUAGCUAGUUGGCGGUGUAAUGGACCACCAAGGCGACGAUCAGUAGCUGGUUUGAGAGGAUGAUCAGCCACAAUGGGACUGAGACACGGCCCAUACUCCUACGGGAGGCAGCAGUAGGGAAUUUUGCGCAAUGGGCGAAAGCCCUGACGCAGCAACGCCGCGUGAACGAUUAAGCCCUUCGGGGUGUAAAGUUCUGUCAGUGGGGACGAAACUUGACGGUACCCACAGAGGAAGCACCGGCUAACUCCGUGCCAGCCGCCGC